rnacentral:misc_RNA from 1 species
CGCUAUGAUGAUACAUCUAUGUUACGGUCCAAACAGUUUGAAUGGCAUUUCAUGUGAAUACAACAUAACAAUCACCUUUCGGCUGAGUGCG